GACAGAGCGCGCGGGCGUUAUUCGUUUUGAUUGGGUGUAAAGGGUAUGUAGGCAGCUGUUGAAAUUCUUGGCUUAAAACGCGGAGUAUUCCUACGCGACAGCCUUUUAAAGACACGGCUCGAAUUGAAAAUAGGUUGGGGCAAAUUUUUAUGAAGGGGUAAAAUCCAUCGAUAUAAGAAUGAACACCAGCUGGCGGAGGCGCCUUCCUUGUUUCAAUUGACGCUGAGGUACGGAAGCCUAGGGAGCAAACAGA
rnacentral:rRNA from 1 species